rnacentral:rRNA from 1 species
GAUAAACGCUGGCGGCGCACAUAAGACAUGCAAGUCGAACGGAAGUCGUUGUAAUGAUGUUGACAUGAACAGAGAACUUGUUCGAAGGAAUUGAAGAUUGACUUACAACAAUGGCUUUAGUGGCGGACUGGUGAGUAACACGUAAGCAACCUGCCUGUUAGAGGGGAAUAACAACGAGAAAUCGUUGCUAAUACCGCAUAUGCCAUAAUCACCACAUGGUGAUAGUGGGAAAGGAGCAAUCCGCUAACAGAUGGGCUUGCGUCUGAUUAGUUAGUUGGUGGGGUAACGGCCUACCAAGACCACGAUCAGUAGCCGGACUGAGAGGUUCAACGGCCACAUUGGGACUGAGAUACGGCCCAG